rnacentral:lncRNA from 1 species
UCAGGAUAUCAUUGCCAUUUUGGGUAUGGAUGAGCUCAGUGAGGAUGAUAAGUUGACGGUUGCUCGUGCAAGGAAGAUCCAGCGGUUCCUGAGCCAGCCCUUCCAUGUUGCCGAAGUUUUCACUGGUGCUCCAGGGAAGUACGUGGAUCUAAAGGAGGGUGUUCAAAGUUUCCAGGUGAGAAUUGAACCAUAGUACUUUCUAAAACACGCAAUACCACUAUCCUAUAAGCGCUUGCUCAUGUGAUGUAGUGGAUGUUUGUCAUAUGCUUGCUCAUGAACAUUGCACAGAAUUAGACCCAAGUAUAAACCUUUUUAAGAAAUUUCUGUUGCCUGUGAUCAUCUUACUCGAAAACCUGAGAUGCUCCUUUUGCAUAUAGUUGUUUGCUUUUAAGAAUAGCUGUUUUACUCUUCCCAUAUGACUGCUUAGUUAUCUGGAGCUAUGUAUUAUGUGUGCUUUGCUAACAUGCCUGAUUGGUGAAAUGCGCAGGGUGUGUUGGAUGGCAAGUACGAUGACCUCUCGGAGCAGGCGUUCUACAUGGUUGGAGGCAUCGACGAAGUCAUGGCCAAGGCGGAGAAGAUCGCCAAGGAGAAUGCUUGAUGACGAGGUGUUACCACCACCCUGUACAAGUUA